rnacentral:lncRNA from 1 species
GAUGCUUCUGUUCUCUGCGGCUACCUCUUCUAGACUGUGAGCUUCCAACGUUCUGUUGAUUAGGGCAAUCCAGGAAUUUAAUGACAUCAUAAGACAUCAGGCCCACCAAAUGGUCCUUGCUCUCUAUUCUUGCAGAUAUUGGAAUUUCUUAGAAGAAACACCUAUGUGAACAAUGCAAAUAGGAGAAAACCAAAGAGUUCUCAAAAAUUCAGAUUCUCCUAAAAGUAGCAAACCAAAAUGCCAUUACUUCUACAUGGCCCAUUUCACAAGUGGUUUCAGCAGUACAAAUUGGCUGAAUUUCAGACUCACAACCACCUGCAGCGGUAUGCCUGUUGUGACUGCAGAAUCAGUCAGGGAAAGAAGGCUGUGUGGAACUGUACACGCAACAAUGACUUCUCAGUCAGAGACAUACCCCAGACUCCCUUCAACAGAAAGCAAACAAAAGCAAUAGUUCAUGAAAAUGUUUAUGAAAUGGGGUGUAGAAACCAAACACAGUGGCAGCCAUGUAGGCCUUUUAGAUUUAAGCGCAUUUAUUUUUCAUAGAAAUAAAAAUAAGCCUAGCUUUCAAAAACAUCUCAUGUUCUACUUGAGAUUUCAUAAGAAUAUUUUGCAGAAGAAUAUGGUUUUAUAUUAUCAAGAGAUAACUGAAUGACUUUAAUUUCUACUUGUUCAAUAUGAAGCCGAGUGUGACACAUCAAUUCCAUUAAGUUCAGUUCAACAAAUACUUACUGUCGCUGAAAUGCCGGAGGAGCUAUGUGAGGUGUUGUGUAGAGUGCAGAGAUAAACAAGACAUGAUCUCUGAGUCCAAGGACAUUCCCUCUCCUCCAAGUCAACUCAAUGUCUCCUUUUGAUCUUUCAAGGGCUUUUUGGAUCAUGAUCCUUUUGCAGUUUGGCUAGAAUUAUUCUGGGGAUUGUGUUGGAGUCAUUAAGAACCACUUUGUUUGUGUGUCUCUAAAGUGAGGCUACAGUAUUAACUAUUGGAAACACAUUUCUUUUAGAUUCUGUGUCCAAACUGUUCUCUGUCUGUACAUAUACUACAGACAAAGAAAUGAGGAUGCUACUGUUAGCAGAACAUCAGGAGGGGGACACAGCUUACUAAACCAAUUUCUGGCUCAAAAAGUCAUGUUAAAUAUUCUUAUGACACACACACAAAAGGGGGGCAGUAUCAUGAGUUAGUGCCAGAUGCUGGAAGGUGGUUGAGCCAGUGAGGCGGGCCCUCAGGAAGGAGAAGAGAAUUUGGAUGCAAAUUACAACAUUUCCUCCUCUAAGGAGAAUGGAGCACCAGGAGCUUUUAUCAUUUUCAGGGAAUGUUGUGAAGGGAAUUUCAUAUUUAAAUUCUUGAGACGUGAAAAUGAUGUAAUAUGUAAAACUUUUUGUAUGUCUUUGUUAGUUAGCCAAUUUCUCUGCCAUAAGGCUUUUCCAUGUGAAAUGAGCUGAGAAAGGAAAAAUAAAAUGUAGAUGAAAUCUCUUUUAGAGAAGAAGUGGAAGUAAAAUAAAAAUCUGCUUCUUCUGGCCCCAGGGAAUAAUGGGGGCAAAAGGGAGCAGAGGUAAGAGAGACAUUUGGUUGAGAUGUAGGAGUCCCAGUCUCAUCCCUCUAAAAUGAAGUCCUGGAAUGGAAGGUACUUCAGAUGUCAGAGGGGGACAUUGAAGCUGGAAAUGCUUGGGCUCCUCUUCCCAUUUGGGACUUUCGUAGGGACAACAGGUAGGGCACUGUGGUCUGGAAUUGACCCUGGGCAGCCUAGGAGCAGAGUGCUAUAGUCAGGUAGAGAGGACUUAUUUAGCAGUCAUGAGUUACCCUUGGCUCUCUGGGUUACGAGACACCGGAGUUUCCUUCUUGUCCCAUAUCAGGGGGAAUACUGAGGGAAACUGAGAGUCUGUGCGCAUGCCAUGGAUCACUGCCUAGAUGGACCCAGCACAGGCUGUCUCAUAGAGGAACCUGUGUUGGACAACAGGGAAGAGAAUCAGAAAAUGUCUGCCAUGCCAGUGAGAGUACCAAGGCUGAGCCAAUCAGCUGAAGAUCUCACUGAGGCCCAACCAAGUUGACGGAGACAAAAGCCGCAAGUUAUUCCAGGCUGAAGUUGAACAGCAGGAACCAAUACAUUGCACAAGGGUGGGAAGUCAUGCAACGAGGCCUCAGAAAUCCCAGCCAGCACAGACACAAGAACCAGCACAAGUGACUUGCAUAGGGGUCUGCUGGCUCUCCCAUCUUUUCUUGGCAUCGUCUCCAUUUCUUCAGAGGCACUUCCCCAAAUAAAAUCUUUGCUCUUUUAAUCCUGUUUUGGUGUCUGCUUCUUGGAGCUCUUGAACUAACUCAACCAUCGAUUCAGAUAAACUGGUUCAAAUCUGGGCUUGGCUAUUUACUGGCUACAGGGCCUGUGUCAGUUACUUAACCUCCGUAUUCUGCAG